GCUGCCACUGACCUCGGGCGUUUUUGGAGAAGAAGCCCGGUUUGAGUAGAUGUUCCUGUUCUUAAUUUGAGGGUUGGAAGGUGGGAGCACUUGUGAUGAGCACAGGUGUGAAGGAUCAGCAGUGGUGAGGAGGAGGACGGGUGUGAGCCCGCUGGGCCACCGUAGUCCAGCGCCUGGCUGGGACGCAUAGAGACACUUGAUUUUCUUCAUUUAUCUGGACAGCUGCUCACACGCUGCCUUCCCGCUACGUUGUCGCUACGUUGUCACUACGUUCCCGCUACGUUGUCGCUACGUUGUCACUACGUUCCCGCUGCGUUCCCGCUGCGUUCCCGCUACGUUCUUGCUACGUUCCCGCUACGUUCCCGCUGCGUUCCCGCUACGUUCUCGCUACGUUCCCGCUACGUUCUCGCUACGUUCCCGCUGCGUUCUCGCUAUGUUCUCGCUACGUUCCCGCUGCGUUCUCGCUAUGUUCUCGCCACGCGACGAGUGCAAGUGAAGCGUUUAGUGGGUCGUCUUUGUUUUCCCGACGUGUUUACUGGACCUGAGAAGUUAGAGAGAUUUGAUGUUUGA
rnacentral:lncRNA from 1 species